UAAGUGAAGAGUUUGAUCCUGGCUCAGAGUGAACGCUGGCGGUAGGCCUAACACAUGCAAGUCGAACGGCAGCACAGGAGAGCUUGCUCUCUGGGUGGCGAGUGGCGGACGGGUGAGGAAUACAUCGGAAUCUACUCUGUCGUGGGGGAUAACGUAGGGAAACUUACGCUAAUACCGCAUACGACCUACGGGUGAAAGCAGGGGACCUUCGGGCCUUGCGCGAUUGAAUGAGCCGAUGUCGGAUUAGCUAGUU
rnacentral:rRNA from 1 species